rnacentral:rRNA from 1 species
CUAGCUACAGGCUUAACACAUGCAAGUCGAGGGGAAACGACAUCGAAAGCUUGCUUUUGAUGGGCGUCGACCGGCGCACGGGUGAGUAACGCGUAUCCAACCUGCCCACCACUUGGGGAUAACCUUGCGAAAGUAAGACUAAUACCCAAUGACGUCUCUAGAAGGCAUCUGAAAGAGAUUAAAGAUUUAUCGGUGAUGGAUGGGGAUGCGCCUGAUUAGCUUGUUGGCGGGGUAACGGCCCACCAAGGCUACGAUCAGUAGGGGGUUCUGAGAGGGAAGGGUCCCCCACAUUGGAACUGAGACACGGUCCAAACUCCUACGGGAGGCAGCAGUGAGGAAUAUUGGUCAAUGGACGAGAGUCUGAACCAGCCAAGUAGCGUGCAGGAUGACGGCCCUAUGGGUUGUAAACUGCUUUUAUAAGGGAAUAAAGUGAGUCUCGUGAGACUUUUUGCAUGUACCUUAUGAAUAAGGACCGGCUAAUUCCGUGCCAGCAGCCGCGGUAAUACGGAAGGUCCGGGCGUUAUCCGGAUUUAUUGGGUUAAAGGGAGCGUAGGCCGGAGAUUAAGCGUGUUGUGAAAUGUAGAUGCUCAACAUCUGCACUGCAGCGCGAACUGGUUUCCUUGAGUACGCACAAAGUGGGCGGAAUUCGUGGUGUAGCGGUGAAAUGCUUAGAUAUCACGAAGAACUCCGAUUGCGAAGGCAGCUCACUGGAGCGCAACUGACGCUGAAGCUCGAAAGUGCGGGUAUCGAACAGGAUUAGAUACCCUGGUAGUCCGCACGGUAAACGAUGGAUGCCCGCUGUUGGUCUGAAUAGGUCAGCGGCCAAGCGAAAGCAUUAAGCAUCCCACCUGGGGAGUACGCCGGCAACGGUGAAACUCAAAGGAAUUGACGG